rnacentral:rRNA from 1 species
AGGACACGCUGGCGGCGUGCUUAACACAUGCAAGUCGAACGGGAGUAUUGAAGAAGCUUGCUUUAGAGAUACUUUAGUGGCGGACGGGUGAGUAACGCGUGAGCAACCUGCCCUUUGCAGGGGGAUAACAUCGGGAAACCGGUGCUAAUACCGCAUAAGACCACAGUGCCGCAUGGUACAGGGGUCAAAGCUGAGGCGGCAAAGGAUGGGCUCGCGUCCAAUUAGCUAGUUGGUGGGGUAAAGGCUCACCAAGGCGACGAUUGGUAGCCGAACUGAGAGGUUGGUCGGCCGCAUUGGGACUGAGACACGGCCCAGACUCCUACGGGAGGCAGCAGUGGGGAAUAUUGCGCAAUGGAGGAAACUCUGACGCAGCAACGCCGCGUGAAGGAAGAAGGCCUUCGGGUUGUAAACUUCUUUGAUCGGGGACGAAGAUGACGGUACCCGAGGAACAAGCCACGGCUAACUACGUG